UACGGAGGGUGCAAGCGUUAUCCGGAUUCACUGGGUUUAAAGGGUGCGUAGGUGGGCAGGUAAGUCAGGGGUGAAAUCCCGGGGCUCAACCUCGGAACUGCCUUUGAUACUGGAGAUCUUGAGUCCGGAAGAGGAGAGUGGAAUUCCUGGUGUAGCGGUGAAAUGCGCAGAUAUCAGGAAGAACACCAAUGGCGAAAGCAGCUCUCUGGGACGGUACUGACGCUGAGACGCGAAAGCGUGGGGAGCGAACAGG
rnacentral:rRNA from 1 species